rnacentral:lncRNA from 1 species
AUGGCUCAGAAAUCUCAGAAAAAAGCUCCAGCCCCUCCCAAAGCUGAAGCCAAAGCAAAGGCCCUGAAAGCUAGGAAGGCAGUGCUGAAAGGCAUCCACAGCCAUAAAAUGAAGAUCAGAAUGUCACCAAUCUUCUGGCAGCCCAGGAUUCUGAGGCUCCAGAGGCAACCAAAGUAUCCUCAAAAGAGUGUGCCCAGAAGAAGCAGGCUUGAUCACUAUGCUAUCAUUGAAUUCCCACUGACCAUGUAGUCAGUCAUGAAGAAAAUAGAGGAUACCAGUGUGCUUGUAUUCAUUGUGCAUGUGAAGUCCAACAAGCACCAAAUCAAACAGGCCAUCAAGAAGCUCUAUGACACUGAUGUGGACAAAGUCAAUACCUUGAUAAGGUCUGAUUUAGAGAAGAAGGCGUAUGUUCACUUGCCUCCUGAUUAUGAGGCUCUAGAUGUUGCCAACAAGAUUGGGAUCAUCUAA